AUUGAACGCUGGCGGCAGGCCUAACACAUGCAAGUCGAACGAGUGGCGGACGGGCGAGUAAUGUCUGGGAAACUGCCUGAUGGAGGGGGAUAACUACUGGAACCGGUAGCUAAUACCGCAUACCAUCGGAUGUGCCCAGAUGGGUUUAGCUAGUAGGUGGGGUAAAGGCUCACCUAGGCGUCGAUCCCUAGCUGGUCUGAGAGGGUGACCAGCCACACUGGAACUGAGACACGGGCCAGACUCCUACGGGAGGCAGCAGUAGGGAAUAUUGCACAAUGGGCGCAAGCCUGAUGCAGCCAUGCCGCGUGUAUGAAGAAGGCCUUCGGGUUGUAAAGUACUUUCAGCGGGGAGGCGUUACCCACAGAAGAAGCACCGGCGAACUCCGUGCCAGCCGCCGCGGUAAUUC
rnacentral:rRNA from 1 species